CCCCUAGACGUUCUGGGCUGCACGCGCGCUACAAUAAUACGCACAGCGAGUAUCACCGAGCUCGAAAGGGCAAGGUAAACAAUAGAAAAGGUACUGUAAUGGUUAUAGAUCCUUGUAAUUAUUGAUCUUCAACGAGGAAUUCCUAGUAAGUAUGUGUCAUCAUCACGCACUGAUUACGUCCCUGCCCUUUGUACACACCGCCCGUCGCUCCUACCGGUUGGGUGAGCCGAUGAAACUCUCGGAUGUAGGCUAUUCAUAGCCCGCAGAAGAGAUUUGAAUCGUAGCGCUUAGAGGAAGGAGAAGUCGUAACA
rnacentral:rRNA from 1 species